rnacentral:rRNA from 1 species
CUGAGGCGUGACGACGAGGCACUACGGUGCUGAAGCAACAAAUGCCCUGCUUCCAGGAAAAGCCUCUAAGCAUCAGGUAACAUCAAAUCGUACCCCAAACCGACACAGGUGGUCAGGUAGAGAAUACCAAGGCGCUUGAGAGAACUCGGGUGAAGGAACUAGGCAAAAUGGUGCCGUAACUUCGGGAGAAGGCACGCUGACACGUAGGUGAAGUGAUUUACUCAUGGAGCUGAAGUCAGUCGAAGAUACCAGCUGGCUGCAACUGUUUAUUAAAAACACAGCACUGUGCAAACACGAAAGUGGACGUAUACGGUGUGACGCCUGCCCGGUGCCGGAAGGUUAAUUGAUGGGGUCAGCGCAAGCGAAGCUCCUGAUCGAAGCCCCGGUAAACGGCGGCCGUAACUAUAACGGUCCUAAGGUAGCGAAAUUCCUUGUCGGGUAAGUUCCGACCUGCACGAAUGGCGUAAUGAUGGCCAGGCUGUCUCCACCCGAGACUCAGUGAAAUUGAACUCGCUGUGAAGAUGCAGUGUACCCGCGGCAAGACGGAAAGACCCCGUGAACCUUUACUAUAGCUUGACACUGAACAUUGAGCCUUGAUGUGUAGGAUAGGUGGGAGGCUUUGAAGUGUGGACGCCAGUCUGCAUGGAGCCGACCUUGAAAUACCACCCUUUAAUGUUUGAUGUUCUAACGUGGACCCGUUACCCGGGUUGCGGACAGUGUCUGGUGGGUAGUUUGACUGGGGCGGUCUCCUCCUAAAGAGUAACGGAGGAGCACGAAGGUUGGCUAAUCCUGGUCGGACAUCAGGAGGUUAGUGCAAUGGCAUAAGCCAGCUUGACUGCGAGCGUGACGGCGCGAGCAGGUGCGAAAGCAGGUCAUAGUGAUCCGGUGGUUCUGAAUGGAAGGGCCAUCGCUCAACGGAUAAAAGGUACUCCGGGGAUAACAGGCUGAUACCGCCCAAGAGUUCAUAUCGACGGCGGUGUUUGGCACCUCGAUGUCGGCUCAUCACAUCCUGGGGCUGAAGUAGGUCCCAAGGGUAUGGCUGUUCGCCAUUUAAAGUGGUACGCGAGCUGGGUUUAGAACGUCGUGAGACAGUUCGGUCCCUAUCUGCCGUGGGCGCUGGAGAACUGAGGGGGGCUGCUCCUAGUACGAGAGGACCGGAGUGGACGCAUCACUGGUGUUCGGGUUGUCAUGCCAAUGGCACUGCCCGGUAGCUAAAUGCGGAAGAGAUAAGUGCUGAAAGCAUCUAAGCACGAAACUUGCCCCGAGAUGAGUUCUCCCUGAGACUUAGGUCUCCUGAAGGAACGUUGAAGACGACGACGUUGAUAGGCCGGGUGUGUAAGCGCAGCGAUGCGUUGAGCUAACCGGUACUAAUGAACCGUGAGGCUUAACCUUAC